CCAGGCGCCGAUCGUCCGCAACGGAGCCAGGGCCGCGAGCUCGCCACCGCGCGGUGGGGAAUGCCGUCGUCAUCAAAGGCGUUGAUGGCCGCCACUAAAAAGCGGGCCGAAGAACUGCAGGCCAAGGGCAAGACCGUCGAUUUCAAUGAAUUGCUCAGAAUGGAGCCGGACAACGGCACGACCAACAUCCGCAACGUGAAGAGC
rnacentral:misc_RNA from 1 species